rnacentral:rRNA from 1 species
AUUGAACGCUGGCGGCAGGCCUAACACAUGCAAGUCGAACGAGUGGCGGACGGGUGAGUAAUGUCUGGGAAACUGCCUGAUGGAGGGGGAUAACUACUGGAAACGGUAGCUAAUACCGCAUACCAUCAGAUGUGCCCAGAUGGGAUUAGCUAGUUGGUGGGGUAACGGCUCACCAAGGCGACGAUCCCUAGCUGGUCUGAGAGGAUGAACAGCCACACUGGAAAUGAGAAAAGGUUCAAGCUCCUACGGUGGGCAGCAGUUGGGAAUAUUGCACAAUGGGCGCAAGCCUGAUGCAGCCAUGCCGCGUGUAUGAAGAAGGCCUUCGGGUUGUAAAGUACUUUCAGCGGGGAGGCGUUACCCGCAGAAGAAGCACCGGCUAACUCCGUGCCAGCAGCCGCGGUAAUUC